rnacentral:lncRNA from 1 species
UAUGAAUUUUCAACAAAAUUAUAAUAUAUAAUAUUUAAAUUUUCGCGCGAUUUAAUAUAAGAAAUUUUAACAUAAGAUUCAGCCAAUCAAAAAGUUGCAACAGCGGAAUAACGAGAUGAAGCAGUGCGCGUUUUAAUAUGCAUGACACCUGUUUACCAACGAAAUUCAUGGACAAAGGAGGUAUAGUACCGAUAUAGGUAUUUCUCAAAGAACGACUUCCCAUGGAUCACGACGAUUGAUGUCAACACAGAUUCUUCGCAUCUAAUGACGAAUCGCAUGCAUUUUUGUUCCUCUGGUUAUUUAAUCAUGUUGCAGAAUGAAAGAUCCGAACCGACACGGGUAACUGGCUGUAUACGUAGAAUUUUUUACGAACACAGUGACCAUGGAUAUGUACAAUAUCCGUGAAUAGUAACAUUUUUUUUUUUUUAAUAUUUUAUCUAUUAGAUGAGGAUAGGUUUUCUUGUACAACGUAAGCAUUUUUAAUAAAAUAAAUAAAUUAUAAUUGAAUUUAUA